rnacentral:rRNA from 1 species
AAAAGAACUUUGAAGAGAGAGUUCAAAAGGGCGUGAAACCGCUUAGAAGAAAACGGACGGAACCGUCUGACGCCCUCGGGAAUCAGUCGAACGACGCGCGAACGCGUCUCGAUCGUCGGAGCGUAAAAGUCCGGCUCGAGGCGUCUAGUAGUCGCGUUCGUAAGGCGCAUUUCUCGAGGGUUAGCGCCGCGACCGAUGCGAACGGCCGACGACGCCGUCGAGUUGAGGUCGAACGCCCUUCGCGGGUAUUCGUAACCAGCUCGUUCGGUAGACUCGUCGGAUCUAAUAUAUAAAGCAUCGAGCGAAUACUAUAAAUACGUCGGCGUAAAACGCUCGACGAGCGGCGGAGACUCGGCCAGUCGUUCGGUACCUGCUCGCAGGUUCUCGUUCGGCGCGAGGUCGUUUCCCGGUGUCGCCGUCGACGCUACCGACGUUUAGGCGUCCGCGGCGUCCGAGUCGGCCACCCGUCCGACCCGUCUUGAAACACGGACCAAGGAGUCUAACGUACGCGCGAGUUAAUGGGUGGAAAACCCAUAAGCGCAAUAAAAGUAAAAGUCGUCCCAAGACGGCCGAGGUACGAUCCUAGACUACGCGUCUAGGCGCAGUACCGUCCCGUCCCGACCGCACGUCGGUAGGGCGGAGAUUGAGCCCAUACGUUGGGACCCGAAAGAUGGUGAACUAUGCCUGAGCAGAGCGAAGCCAGAGGAAACUCUGGUGGAGGUUCGUAGCGGUUCCGACGUGCAAACCGAUCGUCAGACUUGGGUAUAGGGGCGAAAGACUAAUCGAACCAUC